UUUGAAAAUUGAUAUUUAUAAAGGUAAUAAGAGAUAUAUCCUCUUCUUCCUAUAUGUCUUAGUCAUUGUGUUGACAUAUUGCACAACCUGCAAAAGUGUAUUUGUGGUUGAAGACGAGGAUUUGUCUUUUCCUAAUAUGUGUUAACUCAUUGGCAAGCGUACAAAAUCAUUUUAAGUAAUAAACUGGUAAGACCGGAUAUCGUAUCCCA
rnacentral:lncRNA from 1 species